UGGUCCAGAGAUUCAAAAUACACUGCAGAUAUUCAGAUUAGAACACUUCACGUCACCCUUUGUCUGAGGAAUGAUAUCUUUGUCGCGCCGGAAAUCGCCUUCGGCGGCGACGGAGAGCCAAACCACGUAAAACCUACACCAAUCUCCUCGUUUCAUCCUUGUCUACCUAGAUUCAUCCAUAAUUUAUCCUAAUUCUUAGCCUAAGGUGCAAAUCGAACAGAAAAGCUCAAUAACCCUAAUCACAAAUUCUAAAAUUAAACUCUCACAAAGAGGAAUCCAAGUCUCUAAUAUUAGGGCUUUUAUUCUUCUAACAAAACCCCACAUGAUGACAACUAUCUUAGAGUGAAAUAAAGAAGAAGUGUUCACCUCCAUAGAAGCAGCUUUCCUCAGUAGUGGUUGCAAUAGAGAUGAUGAAAGAAGAUUGAAGAUGCUUAUUUUUUGUGUUGAAUGGUCAUGCUCGAAAUGGACUGAAAUGCUUGCUUGGAAUGGUUUCGUAGGAUGUUUGGAAACAUGGGGGAUUGAACAAAGGCCUAAAAAAUGGAUAUUCACGUGGCAUGCAUUUAAAGGAACUUGGAACACGGUGACAUCAAAAGAUUAAGAAGAAAAUGGAGGUUUUGAGGAUCAAACAAAAUGGGAUGGCUUGUGGGAGAAGUAGGAAAAGAAUUAGGGUUAGGGUAGUUAGAAUUUAGUCAGUUGACUUUGGUCAACUAUUUGACCAAAAACUCAACAGUUGACCAAAAGUCAACCUAGGUCAAAAUUGUAUUUGUUUUUUGUAAGGGUUUAUGAGGUAAUGUAAUGGAUUAAUGGUUUUUGAAAUUGAAAUGGAUUUUGAAUGGAACAUAAAUGGUAAAAUGAAACUUAUAUUCUAAGUAA